UUUUGCAUAUUAUUUUACUCGAAGAUUGGCUGGAUUUAUUUGAGCGUGUAAGUUUUGUUUAUGAUUAGUGGAAUGAAAAAAUGAAACUGAUGUUGUGGUGCAGGAAGUGUCCCUUCCUAACGAAUUCUAAAAGUGGGCAAGCGGCGGAUCAUAGGAGGAAGUUUAUGGUAAGACCACGUAAGACAGAAUAUCGUUAUUAUUGGCCUAUCUUACCAAUUAGAUACAAUAAUAGCUGAUACAGGUUCACACAUAACCUGAUGUGUUAGAGACAACGACUAACUUCGAUUCACCCACUCAAGAAAAAACGUAUAUAAGUCUUAUAGGAGACAUAUCAAACUCCCUUUCCUGGUGGCUGAAAUUACAGCGUGCUCAGCGAGUAUAGCGAGGUGCAUCAUCGGCGCAUUUGAUUUUAACGUCAAUGCAUCAGUGACUAAGCAACAGCAAAGCGCCAAACAACAAUACUAACACAUUAAAUUUCGGAUUGAAUGAAAACUAAUUUGAAAUCGAUCAAAAACUGAAUUAAAACAAAAUUUAAAUUGAAUUCAAAUGAAAUUGAAAUAUAAUUAAAAUAAAUUGGAAUUAAAUUCAAAUUCAAAUUAUUGUUGAAUCACAUUGAAUUGAAAUUAAAGUAAAAUUAAGAUCAAACUUAUUGAACAUUAACCUUAUAUUAAAAUAAAAUUAAAUUGAAAUCAUAUCAAUAAAAUAAAUUG